UACGAAGGGGGCUAGCGUUGUUCGGAAUCACUGGGCGUAAAGCGCACGCAGGCGGAUCGAUAAGUCGGGGGUGAAAGCCCGGGGCUUAACCUCGGAAUUGCCUUCGAUACUGUCGGUCUCGAGUCCGGGAGAGGUGGGUGGAAUUCCUAGUGUAGAGGUGAAAUUGGUUGAUAUUAGGAAGAACACCAGUGGCGAAGGCGGCGCACUGGCCCGGUCCAGACGCGCAGGUGCGAAAGCGUCGGGAGCAAACAGG
rnacentral:rRNA from 1 species